GACGAACGCUGGCGGCGUGCUUAACACAUGCAAGUCGAACGGAAAGGCCCUGCUUUUGUGGGGUGCUCGAGUGGCGAACGGGUGAGUAACACGUGAGUAACCUGCCCUUGACUUUGGGAUAACUUCAGGAAACUGGGGCUAAUACCGGAUAGGAGCUCCUGCUGCAUGGUGGGGGUUGGAAAGUUUCGGCGGUUGGGGAUGGACUCGCGGCUUAUCAGCUUGUUGGUGGGGUAGUGGCUUACCAAGGCUUUGACGGGUAGCCGGCCGGAGGGGGUGACCGGCAACAUUGGGACUGAGAACGGGCCCGGACUCCUAGGGGGGGAAGCAGGGGGGAAUUUUGCACAAGGGGGGGAAGCCUGAUGCAGCAACGCCGCGUGCGGGAUGACGCCCUUCGGGUUGAAAACCGCUUUCGCCUGUGACGAAGCGUGAGUGAGGGUAGUGGGUAAAGAAGCACCGGCUAACUACGUG
rnacentral:rRNA from 1 species